rnacentral:rRNA from 1 species
AUGACGCUGCUCUCCAUUCACGAAGAAAAUAUGGAACUUGCAAAUGGAGAUCAAGAAUCUUCUUUAGAAAGUGAAGGGGAAAUUCUUUCACACUAUUGCAGCUCACAAGAAGAAGAUAUUGAGAAUCAGCACACCAUCACAAGGGAACUAGAAAUGCUCAUGGAAAGGCUAAGUGAUCUUAGAAGACAGAAUUUGUGUCUCACAAAUGAUGACGAAUUUGACUUUCCUGAAUCUUCAAGAAAGUUACCUUCGAAAGAAAUGAAGUGCUUCAAGUGCAAACAGUUCAGUCAUCUCAUAGCAUACUGUCCUUGCUGGGAUAGAAAACCAAGCAACAGAUGGAUGUAUCUUCACGGAAAUGGAUUUACUCGAAUGGAUCGUCACACUAAGCUCUCGAAGAAAAAUGAAUCUUCCUCAUCCUCUUCGAUGAGACCAGUCACUGACGUGAAAGCCAGAGCAACCAUCAAAUCUGAUAUGAAGAGAAUAUCACGGCUAAACAGAGCAUGUGCUGAUAUGAACUUGGAAUCUGAAGAUGAAACUUCUGAAUCAGAAUCAGAAGAUGAAGAUCUUCACAGAAGGAUAGGAAGAAGCAAUGCUUUUGUGGCAUAUGAAUCAUCUAAGGAAUCACUCGAAUCAGACACUGAUGACAUUGCGUCAAGUGAUGAUGAACUAGUUGCAUUCUGUCUCAUGGCAAAAACCUCUAAGGAUCAGAUUGCAAAAUCUCAACAAGAUGAGCUUGAAAAACUUGAGAACAAUCUUAGGAAAACUGAAGGAUUACUGGUCGAACAGAUGGAGAAGAAUCAAAAGUUGAUGAUUGGCACUGAAACUUCCUCGAAUAGAUAUGGGUCAAACCUUCGACAGAAGGAGUACAUGCGUACCUACUCAAAUCAUUAUGCUCAUGUCUCUAGAAACAACUUCAAUGCAUAUUCAUAUGAUUACUCUCGAAAUCCACAGGUGAACUAUAGAUCUCACCGAAGGAUUGUCCCUGCUCAGACUAAGCAAAUAAGAUGCUCGCUGCCCACGCAAGUCUCGUCGGCCUCCCCCGGAUCCGAUCCGAUCUGCGGUAAAAAAACGAGAACGAUGACUAGCGAUUCCCCUCGCACGAACAAAAAAUCGGACGACGCCCUAGCCUCCCUCGCACGAAAAAAACCCUCCUCUCAAUGCGGCGCUGCCCCCAUCUCUCGCUCCGCCGCCACCGCUGCUGCCUCCCUCCCGCUCAGCCACCUCCACCGCUCCCACCCUUCUCCCCAUUGUUGGAUCCGCUUGCAUAUCGUCAAGGUUAGGCGGCGAAGCUCCACGUCCGCGAUGCGCACAUGCUCAUCAAGGAAGCGGCUCCCAGAUCUGAGGUCGCGGGGCCGUGACGGAAGGAGCUCGAGGUGGCCGCUGAAGACCAAGCCCCCACCAUGUGGCGUCGAGAACGGCCGGCGGCAUGGUAGGAUGGAGGAGAACGGCCUGGAGUUCGUGCUCGAUCUGGUGGUCAGGUUCCCACUUCGGGAAGAGUUCGCCGAUAACCUUAAGCAUUCUGAUCCGGUGCCGCUAAGGCUGCCACCCAGGGGGAGGCUAGCGCUCUUGGCAUGGAGGAUUCAAUUGGUAUUUGGUUUCGGCGUGUUUCAGGUUAAGAUUAGAGAAUGCACCACCGGACAGAACUCCGUGCGCUUCACGGAUGAGCACACUGGAGGUGGUGUCGUGAGGACAAACCUUGAGAUCGAGAGACAUGCGAGCAAGCUGUACACAAGAGCCAUGGUUGAGCAGUUUGGCGAACGGUUGUUCGAGGCUACUACCUACAAGGUCACUGAGCUUGAGAAAGGGAGGAUAGUGGCAUGUUGUGCACUAUGUUUGCGAAUUAACAGGACUGUACCUCUGGUCACGGCUGAGAAGGUGAGCAUUUGCUCCAUGCUUGUUCCUCUUAUUCAAGAUGGCAGACUUGUUGAAAAGCUGCCUGACAGGGUCAAGUAUGCCAUUGACGGAUACUUCAAGUUUUGGAUUUGCAGAUCCAUGCCCUUGAUUCUUGCUCCGAAAGUGGACCUGAAAAAACUACAAGUUCGACGAUUGCGCGAGGAACACAAUGGGUUUUCUCUGAAUCAUCUGAUCCACCUUCACCUUCACCGACAUCACACGCUCCUCUGUGACCUCCCAUCAAUGAUGCCCAGCUACUUCGCCAACAACAUCGAGGAGCUCGUGUGUGAUAGCUACUGCCCUGCUUAG